rnacentral:rRNA from 1 species
GGGCUAAUCACGGUUGGACAUCGUGAGGUUAGUGCAAUGGCAUAAGCCCGCUUGACUGCGAGAAUGACAAUUCGAGCAGGUGCGAAAGCAGGUCAUAGUGAUCCGGUGGUUCUGAAUGGAAGGGCCAUCGCUCAACGGAUAAAAGGUACUCCGGGGAUAACAGGCUGAUACCGCCCAAGAGUUCAUAUCGACGGCGGUGUUUGGCACCUCGAUGUCGGCUCAUCACAUCCUGGGGCUGAAGUCGGUCCCAAGGGUAUGGCUGUUCGCCAUUUAAAGUGGUACGCGAGCUGGGUUUAGAACGUCGUGAGACAGUUCGGUCCCUAUCUGCCGUGGGCGUUGGAGAAUUGAAAGGGGCUGCUCCUAGUACGAGAGGACCGGAGUGGACGAACCUCUGGUGUUCGGGUUGUGUCGCCAGACGCAUUGCCCGGUAGCUAAGUUCGGGAUCGAUAACCGCUGAAAGCAUCUAAGCGGGAAGCGAGCCUUGAGAUGAGUUCUCCCUGAUACUUUAAGUAUCCUAAAGGGUUGUCGUAGACUACGACGUUGAUAGGCAGGGUGUGUAAGCGUUGUGAGGCGUUGAGCUAACCUGUACUAAUUGCCCGUGAGGCUUAACCAUACAACACCCAAGGGGUUU